rnacentral:piRNA from 1 species
GAGAUUGAAUUUUUGAAAAAGCC